AUAGUUAAAUAAAUUAUCCAAUACACAAAAUAUCUAUUCAAAGAUGUAAUGAUAUAAACUAUAAUAAGUUACAGUUUUUCUUAAAUGUUUAAACACUAAAACUGGAACUAUGCACACGAUGGUGAAAACUUGAAGCUCAUGUGUCAACAACAAAGACUAUUUUCACAAAACUCUAAGCACAAUUCCUUUGUUUUCACUCAAAUAGCAAUUCUAAAUCACAUUUUUGCACAACUCUACACACAAAAUCUCAUCAUUUAGCACAAUUUUCAUAAUCAAGCCUUGUUUGUUCACAUGGAAAACACUGGCCUUCAAAUGCCAAACUUUAAGUACCAAUUGGUCUCACUCAUGCCACACCUGCUCAAACUCAAUUGGCUAAACUUUUCAAUUAUCUGUCAGAGCAUAAAAGAGACCUCAGGUGACUUCUAUUGAGUUGGAAAACAAUGGAGCAACAUGCAGCACAGCAAGGUAGAGGUAGAGGUAGAGGUAGAGGAGGUGUACGUGUACGAGGUGGACGAGGAAGAGGGAGAUGAGCUAACAUUUCAAAUGAAAUACGUGGAACUUUGGUUGAUCACAUAUUUGUUUUUUGUUUUUUUUUACAGCAGGCCUACAAACUACGAUUUUUAUUUUUGCAGUCUGCUGAACAAAGAUUUAUUUUACAGUAACAAAUAAAGAUUUGCUUUGUUAC